AGGACAACUCAGAGGUUUCAUCAAUUUCACUUCUGUUUGGAGUUGAAUGAUUUCUAAUCAUAUUCCUCAAAUUCUGAUGGUAAGGUCCACAAUUUUUCUUGGGAACAAAUAUGGAUGCAUUCGGGGACAAUUAUGAACCUUGUUUACACUAAUAUCCUUCAAAAUGAUAAAGAAGAUGCUUGUCCUGAUAUGUACAAAUAGAUAUUCUGUAAGCUAG
rnacentral:misc_RNA from 1 species